rnacentral:rRNA from 1 species
GACGAACGCUGGCGGCGUGCCUAAUACAUGCAAGUAGAACGCUGAAGGAGGAGCUUGCUUCUCUGGAUGAGUUGCGAACGGGUGAGUAACGCGUAGGUAACCUGCCUGGUAGCGGGGGAUAACUAUUGGAAACGAUAGCUAAUACCGCAUAAGAGUAGAUGUUGCAUGACAUUUGCUUAAAAGGUGCAAUUGCAUCACUACCAGAUGGACCUGCGUUGUAUUAGCUAGUUGGUGGGGUAACGGCUCACCAAGGCGAUGAUACAUAGCCGACCUGAGAGGGUGAUCGGCCAAACUGGGAAUGGGACACGGCCCAGAAUCCUACGGGAGGCAGCAGUAGGGAAUCUUCGGCAAUGGACGGAAGUCUGACCGAGCAACGCCGCGUGAGUGAAGAAGGUUUUCGGAUCGUAAAGCUCUGUUGUAAGAGAAGAACGAGUGUGAGAGUGGAAAGUUCACACUGUGACGGUAUCUUACCAGAAAGGGACGGCUAACUACGUG